rnacentral:lncRNA from 1 species
AAUUAGUUGAGACUCCUAAGUGACUAUAUGAGAAAAGUGAGCUUCCUGCCAUAAUGUUUUCUGUUCUCUGUAGCGUGUGGAUAAUCAGAGCUGUAGAUGGAGAUUUCUUCUUGCACGGAAGAAAAUCUUAGGUGACAUUUGUGGAAGAGGACGUACAUGUCUCACUACUUGCUAAAUUAGGACAACCACCCAGUCAUCACUCUCCAGUUCUUGGAACUCUCUUCCAAUGGUAGACCUCAAGAUCAUUCAUUUCAACCAUGGCAUAUGAUGUUUAAAAAUCAUCUGUAUAAGAUGCUAACCUACUAGAACUAUUAACUGAAAGAAUCCACACAAACAGCUAUAAUUUAUGCAAUGAAAUAAUGGGAGAGCCCUAAAUCCAACAGCCCAUUUUGCUUAUCUGUGGCUCUGACCCUGACCCUGCGUGCUCUAGCUACUGAGAUGAUGCAAAUUGAGAAAAUGAACAGGAAUGUAGUAUCUUUCUUGGGAAGUAAUGCAAGACUUUACAGACCUCAAUUCAGGAGAGAAAACAGUGGCAAUUGGCCAGUAGGAUUGUUUCUGGUAGAACAAACAAACAAACAAACAAACAAUUGAAGAUACCCAGACUGUUGGUAUUGGACGUGUUAUUAGUAAAUUUGCAACAUCUGUGGACUAUGCGAUUUCCCUGGAUGUGGCAUAAUUUACAAUUGAAAAUAUUUGCUUUGGUUUGUUAGUAUAUUUAUAUUGGAUUUUGCCAGCUCACUUUACCAAGAUCGUCUGGAAUUUUCUUCCCAGGUCCACUAAAAUAGCAAAAAUAAAUACAUAGAGGAUUUUUUAUUUCCUGUAAAA